rnacentral:rRNA from 1 species
CACGUAGGGGGCGAGCGUUGUCCGGAUUUAUUGGGCGUAAAGAGCUCGUAGGCGGUUUGGCAAGUCGGGUGUGAAAUUUCGAGGCUCAACCUCGAAACGCCACUCGAUACUGCCAUGACUGGAGUCCGGUAGAGGAGUGCGGAAUUCCUGGUGUAGCGGUGAAAUGCGCAGAUAUCAGGAGGAACACCAACGGCGAAGGCAGCACUCUGGGCCGGUACUGACGCUGAGGAGCGAAAGCGUGGGGAGCAAGCAGG